GGACUACUAGGGUUUCUAAUCCCGUUCGCUCCCCUGGCUUUCGCGCCUCAGCGUCAGAAGAGGGCCAGCACGUCGCUUUCGCCACCGGCGUUCCUUCCGAUAUCAACGCAUUUCACCGCUCCACCGGAAGUUCCACGUGCCCCUACCUCCCUCGAGACUCGCAGUAUCCAAGGCACUUUUCCGGUUGAGCCGAAAGCUUUCACCCCGGACUAACGAGUCCGCCUACGCGCCCUUUAAGCCCAGUGAUUCCGAACAACGUUCGCACGGUUCGUCUUACCGCGGCGGCUGGCAC
rnacentral:rRNA from 1 species